rnacentral:rRNA from 1 species
GGCACUACGGUGCUGAAGCAACAAAUGCCCUGCUUCCAGGAAAAGCCUCUAAGCAUCAGGUAACAUCAAAUCGUACCCCAAACCGACACAGGUGGUCAGGUAGAGAAUACCAAGGCGCUUGAGAGAACUCGGGUGAAGGAACUAGGCAAAAUGGUGCCGUAACUUCGGGAGAAGGCACGCUGAUAUGUAGGUGAAGUCCCUCGCGGAUGGAGCUGAAAUCAGUCGAAGAUACCAGCUGGCUGCAACUGUUUAUUAAAAACACAGCACUGUGCAAACACGAAAGUGGACGUAUACGGUGUGACGCCUGCCCGGUGCCGGAAGGUUAAUUGAUGGGGUCAGCGCAAGCGAAGCUCUUGAUCGAAGCCCCGGUAAACGGCGGCCGUAACUAUAACGGUCCUAAGGUAGCGAAAUUCCUUGUCGGGUAAGUUCCGACCUGCACGAAUGGCGUAAUGAUGGCCAGGCUGUCUCCACCCGAGACUCAGUGAAAUUGAACUCGCUGUGAAGAUGCAGUGUACCCGCGGCAAGACGGAAAGACCCCGUGAACCUUUACUAUAGCUUGACACUGAACAUUGAGCCUUGAUGUGUAGGAUAGGUGGGAGGCUUUGAAGUGUGGACGCCAGUCUGCAUGGAGCCGACCUUGAAAUACCACCCUUUAAUGUUUGAUGUUCUAACGUUGACCCGUAAUCCGGGUUGCGGACAGUGUCUGGUGGGUAGUUUGACUGGGGCGGUCUCCUCCUAAAGAGUAACGGAGGAGCACGAAGGUUGGCUAAUCCUGGUCGGACAUCAGGAGGUUAGUGCAAUGGCAUAAGCCAGCUUGACUGCGAGCGUGACGGCGCGAGCAGGUGCGAAAGCAGGUCAUAGUGAUCCGGUGGUUCUGAAUGGAAGGGCCAUCGCUCAACGGAUAAAAGGUACUCCGGGGAUAACAGGCUGAUACCGCCCAAGAGUUCAUAUCGACGGCGGUGUUUGGCACCUCGAUGUCGGCUCAUCACAUCCUGGGGCUGAAGUAGGUCCCAAGGGUAUGGCUGUUCGCCAUUUAAAGUGGUACGCGAGCUGGGUUUAGAACGUCGUGAGACAGUUCGGUCCCUAUCUGCCGUGGGCGCUGGAGAACUGAGGGGGGCUGCUCCUAGUACGAGAGGACCGGAGUGGACGCAUCACUGGUGUUCGGGUUGUCAUGCCAAUGGCACUGCCCGGUAGCUAAAUGCGGAAGAGAUAAGUGCUGAAAGCAUCUAAGCACGAAACUUGCCCCGAGAUGAGUUCUCCCUGACUCCUUGAGAGUCCUGAAGGAACGUUGAAGACGACGACGUUGAUAGGCCGGGUGUGUAAGCGCAGCGAUGCGUUGAGCUAACCGGUACUAAUGAACCGUGAGG